rnacentral:rRNA from 1 species
GACGAACGCUGGCGGCGUGCUUAACACAUGCAAGUCGAACGGAAAGGCCCUGCUUUUGUGGGGUGCUCGAGUGGCGAACGGGUGAGUAACACGUGAGUAACCUGCCCUUGACUUUGGGAUAACUUCAGGAAACUGGGGCUAAUACCGGAUAGGAGCUCCUGCUGCAUGGUGGGGGUUGGAAAGUUUCGGCGGUGGGGGAUGGACUCGCGGCUUAUCAGCUUGUUGGUGGGGUAGUGGCUUACCAAGGCUUUGACGGGUAGCCGGCCUGAGAGGGUGACCGGCCACAUUGGGACUGAGAUACGGCCCAGAAUCCUACGGGAGGCAGCAGUGGGGAAUAUUGCACAAUGGGCGGAAGCCUGAUGCAGCAACGCCGCGUGCGGGAUGACGGCCUUCGGGUUGUAAACCGCUUUCGCCUGUGACGAAGCGUGAGUGACGGUAAUGGGUAAAGAAGCACCGGCUAACUACGUG